rnacentral:rRNA from 1 species
GCCUACGGGGGGCAGCAGUAGGGAAUUUUCGUCAAUGGGCGCAAGCCUGAACGAGCAAUGCCGCGUGAACGAGGAAGGUCUUCGGAUCGUAAAGUUCUGUUGAAGGGGAAAAAGAGCGGAGAGAGGAAAUGGUCUCCGAUUGAUAUUACCCUUCGAGGAAGUCACGGCUAACUACGUGCCAGCAGCCGCGGUAAUACGUAGGUAGCGAGCGUUAUCCGGAAUGAUUGGGCGUAAAGGGUGCGUAGGCGGCCUGCUAAGUCUGGAGUGAAAGGUACCGGCUCAACCGGUACAGGCUCUGGAAACUG